rnacentral:rRNA from 1 species
CCUACGGGAGGCUGCAGUGGGGAAUAUUGGGCAAUGGGCGCAAGCCUGACCCAGCAACGCCGCGUGAAGGCAGAAGGCUUUCGGGUUGUAAACUUCUUUUGACAGGGAAGAGUAGAAGACGGUACCUGUCGAAUAAGCCACGGCUAACUACGUGCCAGCAGCCGCGGUAAUACGUAGGCGGCAAGCGUUCUCCGGAUUCACUGGGUGUAAAGGGCGUGUAGCCGGGUCGACAAGUCAGAUGUGAAAUCCGGGGGCUUAACCGCGGAACUGCAUUUGAAACUGGUGAUCUUGAGUACUGGAGAGGCAGGCGGAAUUCGUGGUGUAGCGGUGAAAUGCGUAGAUAUUAGGAGGAACACCAGUGGCGAAGGCGGUUUGCGGGACAGCAACUGACGGUGAGGCGCGAAAGCGUGGGGAGCAAACAGGAUUAGAUACCCCUGUAGUC